rnacentral:rRNA from 1 species
UACAGAGGGUGCGAGCGUUAAUCGGAAUUACUGGGCGUAAAGCUCACGUAGGUGGUUUAGUAAGUCGGAUGUGAAAUCCCCGGGCUUAACCUGGGAACUGCAUUCGAAACUGCUUUACUAGAGUAUGGGAGAGGACAGUGGAAUUUCAGGUGUAGCGGUGAAAUGCGUAGAUAUCUGAAGGAACAUCAGUGGCGAAAGCGACUGUCUGGACCAAUACUGACGCUCAUGUGCGAAAGCGUGGGGAGCAAACAGG